UGGGGAAUAUUGGACAAUGGGCGCAAGCCUGAUCCAGCAACGCCGCGUGGAGGAUGAAGGUCUUCGGAUCGUAAACUCCUGUCAGAUGGGACGAAGGCAACGGAGGUAAAUAACGCUGUUGCUUGACGGUACCGUCAGAGGAAGCCCCGGCUAACUCCGUGCCAGCAGCCGCGGUAAUACGGAGGGGGCGAGCGUUAUUCGGAAUUAUUGGGCGUAAAGGGCGCGUAGGCGGCCCGCUAAGUCAAAGGUGAAAUCCCUCGGCUCAACUGAGGAACUGCCUUUGAGACUGUCGGGCUCGAGGCCGGGAGGGGGUAGCGGAAUUCCCAGUGUAGCGGUGAAAUGCGUAGAUAUUGGGAGGAACACCAGUGGCGAAGGCGGCUACCUGGACCGGUUCUGACGCUGAUGCGCGAAAGCGUGGGUAGCAAACAGGAUUAGAUACCCCCGUAGUCC
rnacentral:rRNA from 1 species